GAUAGUGGAGAGCGGCGAAAGGGUGAGGAAUACGCAGAUAACCUACCUCCGAGUCCGGGAUAACCCCGUGAAAAUGGAGCUAAUACCGGAUACGUUCCGGGAGACCUCGGUUUCCUGGAGUAAAGAUUUAUCGCCCGGGGAGGGGUCUGUGUCCUAUUAGCUGGUUGGCGGGGUAAAGGCCCACCAAGGCGAUGAUGGGUAGCCGGCUUGAGAGAGUGAUCGGCCACACUGGGACUGAGACACUGCCCAGACUCCUACGGGAGGCUGCAGUCGAGAAUCAUUGUCAAUGCGCGCAAGCGUGAACAUGCGACGCCGCGUGCGGGAUGAAGGCCUUCGGGUCGUAAACCGCCGUCAAGCAGGAAGAGACCCUUCGGGGGCGACGUUACUGCUAAAGGAAGACACGGCUAAAUCCGUGCCAGCAGCCGCGGUAAUACGGAUGUGUCAAGCGUUGUUCGGAAUCACUGGGCAUAAAGGGCGCGUAGGCGGGUCGUUAAGUCAGCUGUGAAAUCCCACGGCCUAACCGUGGAAUGGCAGUUGAUACUGGCGGUCUUGAGUUCGGGAGAGGAGAGUGGAACUCCUGGUGGAGCGGUGGAAUGCGUAGAUAUCAGGGGGAACAGCGGAUGCGAAGGCGGCUCUCUAGUCCGAAACUGACGCUGAGGCGCGAAAGCCAGGGGAGCGAACGGGAUUAGAUACCCCGGUAGUCCUGGCCGUAAACGAUGGGUACCAGGCAGUGGGCGUUCCAAUACAUUCACUGCCGCAGUUAACGCAUUAAGUACCCCGCCUGGGGAGUAUGAUCGCAAGAUUGAAACUCAAGGUAAUUGACGGGGGGCUCGCACAAGCGGUGGAGCAUGUUGCUCAAUACGAAGCUACGCGUACAACCUUACCGAGGUUUGACAUGCAGUGGUAGCGACCCGAAAGGAAGCGACCUAGCAUUAUUUAGGAGCCUGCACAGGUGUUGCAUGGCUGUCGUCACCUCG
rnacentral:rRNA from 1 species